UACGAAGGGGGCUAGCGUUGCUCGGAAUCACUGGGCGUAAAGCGCACGUAGGCGGAUCGUUAAGUCGGAUGUGAAAUCCCUCGGCUCAACUGAGGAAGUGCAUCCGAAACUGGCAGGCUUGAGUACUAAAGAGGGUCGCGGAAUUCCCGGUGUAGAGGUGAAAUUCGUAGAUAUCGGGAGGAACACCGGUGGCGAAGGCGGCGACCUGGGUCGAUACUGACGCUGAGGUGCGAAAGCGUGGGGAGCAAACAGG
rnacentral:rRNA from 1 species